rnacentral:rRNA from 1 species
UACGGAAGGCAGCAGUGGGGAAUAUUGCACAAUGGGCGAAAGCCUGAUGCAGCUAUGCCGCGUGUAUGAAGAAGGCCUUAGGGUUGUAAAGUACUUUCAUCGGGGAGGAAAAACAAAACUAAUAAUUUUAUUUCUUGACGUUACCCGAAAAAGAAGCACCGGCUAACUCCGUGCCAGCAGCCGCGGUAAUACGGAGGGUGCUAGCGUUAAUCAGAAUUACUGGGCGUAAAGAGCACGUAGGUGGUUUUUUUAAGUCAGAUGUGAAAUCCCUGGGCUUAACCUAGGAACUGCAUUUUUGAAACUGAAAUACUAGAGUAUCGUAGAGGGAGGUAGAAUUCUAGGUGUAGCGGUGAAAUGCGUAGAUAUCUGGAGGAAUACCUGUGGCGAAAGCGGCCUCCUAAACGAAUACUGACACUGAGGUGCGAAAGCGUGGGGAGCAAACAGGGAUUAGAUACC